CAAGGAGCCCGGUGCAAAUCCGGGUGGCUAUUCCGGCCGCCGAUCCGCCGGACAAUC
rfam:Novosphingobium lindaniclasticum LE124 contig003, whole genome shotgun sequence.